UACCCAUACCUAGAUAUUUUUCUUUACUGUAUUAUUUUUUUUCUUUUCUAGAUUUUUUCCUUUUUUUCUGUAUGUUUUUUUUAUUUUUAGUAAAGCUUGUAUUAGCUCUUACCUUUUUAAUUGUAACAUUUAAUAAAAAUUAUAUAAGAAUGGCAGUUCUGUAAUUAGCUGGGUCAAUUCAAAAUUGGUUAAAUGGGCCUUACAGUACAGAGAGUUGCAAAACAAUUUGUUUUUAACAAGAACGCAAGAAGUAAAUAGCCCUUCUUUGGUGCAAGCUUUUAAUUUUACAUUCAGCUAUGCAUGGCCCUUUAUUCAAUUUAACAGCUGCAAUUAGGACACUUCAAGUGGCUUGCAUUUUUCAACCCCUUCAGUUGAAAGGGGCCUGGCUGAAUGGUACACACAUAUAAGUUAGAGCAGCUGCAGUGCCAUUUCUCUCAGAUGCCUGGCUUACUGAGACUGAAAGCUGCGGGAAUUCACCAUAAUUUGCAGUUGUGAUGCUUGUGCCAAAUUUGUAAAUUGGAGGGUUCAGAAAUGAGCUCCUCUCGUUCAGGAAAGCUUAGUCUAAGUUAAACUUGCUGGGUAAAGCUUUUCUUCUUUAUUUACCCUUUGAUGUAGACCCUACCUUUCUCUAGGAGCUUUAAGCAUAGUAUGUACCACUUCUUCCCCCAUUAGUCUUUCCCAACAUUUUCUGCUACUCUUCUCCCUUUCAAAAUUAAUCAGGGAGGAGAUUAACUAGCAACAGGGAAAACAGAUUAACUAGCAGCAGAUGAUAGGUGGUUGAUCUUUAAGUUCUUUCUCUGACCUUGGCAACAAAGAGAUUUAUUCAGUUUUAAUUUCCUGUUUGAAUAUACCAAGCCAGGAGGAAGCAACAGUUAAAAAGACUCAGCAGCAUUUCUAAGAGCACAAUGGAAGAUCCAGAGCCAUCAUGCCACCAGGAACAGUGAGAAUUUUCUCUGCUUCCAGCUGAUGCUCCUCCUAAAUAGUCACACUAAGAUCAAGGUUUAAAGGGAAUGCUAUUUCAUCAUAGGCUCAACUGAGCCUGUGGUGCCCAAAGUGCAGGAUGUUGUUUUUCAACCAAGUAAUUCUAAGCUGAAAGGAUGGAAGACUCUUAUACAAAGUGGGAAAGUGGAAGAAAGAAGUCAUGAGGGGGAAGAAUCCCCCAUCAUUUAAAAGGAAACAAAUUGAACUCUUUUGAACAUCUGAAGAAAACAGCGGGGAAAUAUCAAGCUUUACAAAAGGAGCAAUUGAGGCACCAGAGUAUUGUAAAAGAGAUGAUAUAAGGUGCACAAUUUUUAUCCUCUGCAGACAAUAUGUUCUUUUCCUUCUGUUUCCCAAACCAGUAUUUGUCAGUUUCUUGUUCUUUUGUAAUUUCGUUUUUUAAUGUUUUUGAAUUUGAUUGGCUAUAGUGCAGUUUUUCAGCAUUAUAUUCCCAAGAAUAAUCUCAAGAAUCCCACUCACCACAAAACAUAUUAUAUGCAAGAGGAGCUGUAGAGUUGAUGAUCAAUCAGAAGGAAGGAAUGAAAAAUAAUAGAUAGCAGUUUUAAAAACAACCUCUUUCCAACUCCCUUGUGAAUUGGUAAUAUUUAUCCUAACACUGAGUGCCAAUGCUUCUUCUUGAAAGAAAUGCCAAAUAAUCUAGGUCAAACUAUUUGUCCAUCCAGCCCAGUAUGUUCCUUGAUCCUUCUAACUAGAAAUGUCAGGAUUUCACUCCUUAUUUGCAACCUCUCAUAGUUUUGCCUUGUGUUUCUUUUCUAAUAAUGGUGGCAGAUGAUUUCAUAAAGGUACCUGGGCAAAGGGAAUGGCACAUACUUGCAGUCCAUAUCCAUGGAACCUUUAAUCUGAGCUGUCAACAUUAUUGUGUAGUUGGCAUCAUGUUACAGGCAAAGAAGCUUUACUCUAAGAUGGCGACUGUCUAUCCUGCCCAAAGAGCUUGACCAUUGUAGUGAUAGUAAGCUAUUGCUUGGCAAGAUAGCUCCUGACUUUUCUACUUAGCUAGGGAAAAAAAGAGAUACAAACUAAAUAAUCAAUAGACAAAUCAGAAAUAAACGUUGCUGAUAACAAGGAUGUCAUUUUAACAAAAUAGUGAAUUAAGAGGAGACCAUAGGUCAUAUACCCUGUUUAAUA